GACAGCAGUGUUCCUGUCUAGGUGUUUGAAUGAUGCGCGCUUUCACAAAGUGAAUCAGGAGGAUAGUCUGAGUAAUAUUUUUAGUGAUUAAAAACUUAAAUUGUGCUCUGUACCUCACACCAAACAAUUGUAUUUCACCUGCGGUGGCAACGCAACAUCAUUUGGACUACUUUUGACCUGGCCAUGUACCCUGCCCUCUUCAUACAGGUUGUCAUGAUGUCAUUACAGAAGGCAGCCGAAGAACAACUUGGGACACCUCCUGAAAAGACAGUGACUCACACGCACACACACACACA